UGCGCAGGCGGACUUUUAAGUCAGUGGUGAAAUCCCGGGGCUCAACCCCGGAACUGCCAUUGAUACUGUAAGUCUUGAAUUUGGUUGAAGUGGGCGGAAUGUAGCAUGUAGCGGUGAAAUGCUUAGAUAUGCUACAGAACACCGAUCGCGAAGGCAGCUCACUAAACCAAUAUUGACGCUCAGGCACGAAAGCGUGGGGAGCAAACAGGAUUAGAUACCCUGGUAGUCC
rnacentral:rRNA from 1 species